UCCACCCGCCUCGGUCUCUCAAAAUGCUUGGGUUACAGGCAUGAGCCACCAUGCCUGGCCUGAUAUUCUAAUUCUAUCCUUCUUCAUUUACUACUUGAAAUAUUUCUAUGAAGAAAAAUUUCACUUCACUUACUAUUUGAUUACUUAGUCAUAUAGGAAUGUAAGUUAGUACAACCACUAUGGAGACCAGUUUAGAGGUUCUUCAAAAAACCAAAACUAGAACUACCAUAUGUUCCAGCAAUCCCACUGCUGGGAUAUAUACCCAAAAUAAAGGAAAUCAGUAUAUUGAAGUCAGUAUAUUGAAGAGAUAUCUGCACACUCAUGUUCUCCGAUCCUUCUCUCAAUGCUACUUCCUUAAACCCCCAGGCUUAGGCCCUGUAUUAGUCCGUUUUCACACUGCUGAUAAAGACAUACCUGAGACUGGGGAAUUUACAAAGGAAAGAGGUUUAAUGGAGAACCAACAGUUCCACAUGGUGAUUUGCCCAGUGUCCUACUGCUUAAAGUAUCAGAGUUGAGGUUUGAACCAAAUUUGUGUGACUCCAGUUUUUUAAAUAUUUACUGUACCAAGGCUGGAGGGGGCAUGCAUGGGCCCUAGAAGGGUGCGUUGUGAUCCGCUUGCCUUGGCCUCCUGAAGUACUGGGAUUACAGAUGUGAGCCACCGCACCUGGCCAAUAACACCUUAUUUACUGAGAGAUGGCUCAAAUAUUCAUGCCCUCUUCCUCUUCUCCAAUAUCUUUUGUUUCUUUCUUCUGAGCAGAAAGUGCAAUAUAUAUAAAAUAUUAAAUGGGAUACAUGUGUAUAUGUUUGUAUGAGAGAGAGGGAGAGAAUCAGGCGUUUGAGACCAGCCUGGCCAAUAUGGUGAAAUCCCAUCUCUACUAAAAGUACAAAAAUUAGCCAGGUGUGGUGGCAUGCACCUGUAUUCCCAGCUACUCAGGAGGA
rnacentral:lncRNA from 1 species